GAUGAACGCUGGCGGCGUGCCUAAUACAUGCAAGUCGAGCGAACAGACGAGGAGCUUUCUCCUCUGACGUUAGCGGCGGACGUGGGAGUAACAGGUGGAUAACCUACCUAUAAGACUGGGAUAACUUCGGGAAACCGGAGCUAAUACCGGAUAAUAUAUUGAACCGCAUGGUUCAAGAGUAAAAGACGGUUUUGCUGUCACUUAUGGAUGGAUCCGCGCCUCAUUAGCUAGUUGGUAAGGUAACGGCUUACCAAGGCAACGAGGCGUAGCCGACCUGAGAGGCUGAGCGCCCAACCCGGAACUGGAGAACGGUCGAGACUCCUACGGGAGGAAGAAGUAGGGAAUCUUCAGCAAUGGGCGAAAGCCUGACGGAGCAACGCCGCGUGAGUGCUGAAGGUCUUCGGAUCGUAAAACUCUGUUAUUAGGGAAGAACAAAUGUGUAAGUAACUAUGCACGUCUUGACGGUACCUAAUCAGAAAGCCACGGCUAACUACGUG
rnacentral:rRNA from 1 species